rnacentral:rRNA from 1 species
UACGGAGGGUGCAAGCGUUAUCCGGAUUCACUGGGCUUAAAGGGUGCGUAGGUGGGCAGGUAAGUCAGUGGUGAAAUCUCCGGGCUUAACCCGGAAACUGCCGUUGAUACUAUCUGUCUUGAAUAUAGUGGAGGUGAGCGGAAUAUGUCAUGUAGCGGUGAAAUGCUUAGAUAUGACAUAGAACACCCAUUGCGAAGGCAGCUCGCUACACUAUCAUUGACACUGAGGCACGAAAGCGUGGGGAUCAAACAGG